rnacentral:misc_RNA from 1 species
GAUGAAGAACGUAGCGAAAUGCGAUAAGUAUGUGAAUUGCAGAAUUCAGUGAAUCAUCGAAUCUUUGAACGCACAUUGCGCCCUCUGGUAUUCCGGGGGGCAUGCCUGUUCGAGCGUCAUUAUAACCACUCAAGCUCUCGCUUGGUAUUGGGGUUCGCGGUUCCGCGGCCCCUAAAAUCAGUGGCGGUGCCUGUCGGCUCUACGCGUAGUAAUACUCCUCGCGAUUGAGUCCGGUAGGUCUACUUGCCAGCAACCCCCAAUUUUUACAGGUUGACCUCGGAUCAGGUAGGGAUACCCGCUGAACUUAAGCAUAUCAAUAAGCGGAGGA